UGGAAGGCUGGAAGUAAGGGAGUGGAUUCCCAUUAAAUUUAACACUGAAUGAGACUGAAGAUACACAUUGCAUAACCCAUGUAAUCCACUUUUCAUCAAAGCCCAGUUUUCUUAAGCAUGCCUCCAAGAAAUCCCAUUCUACUCUGUCAUAUGCCUUUUUCAUAUCAAGUUUCAAGACCGCCUGAAAUUUUUUCCUCCUCUUCUUGACUCUUAGUUGAUGCAACACUUCCUGCACUAUCAUGAUAUUGUCCUGGAUAAGUCUCCCACUUACGAAUGCACUUUGCUCUUGAGCGAUUAAAUUCGAUAACCAAGGUUUGAGUCGAUUCACCAUUACCUUGGAUAUGAUUUUGUAGGCAAAAUUGCACAAACUAAUGGGACGGAAUUGAUCAAGAGUUUCGGGGUUAGGAACUUUUGGAACUAGUGUAAUGUGGGUUCUAUUUAAAUCAGGAUUCAAUUUUCCUGAUAUGAAAAAAAUUUUAACUGCUGCAAAUACUUCAAACUGAAGAGACUCCCAGUGGAACUGAAAAAAUUUCCCAUUAAAACCAUCUGGUCCAGGGGCACUUAGAGGACUUAGUUGGAAAACUGCAUGCUUGACUUCUUCCAAAGUGACCUCAGCGGUUAGUGAUGCAUUCAUAUCUUCAUGUACCAUUGUUGGAAUGACGUCUAAAACCGGAACAAAAUUUCUGUUACCCACUGAACGAUAUAGGCUUUUAAAAUAAUCUGUCGUUUGUUGGUGUAAGAGCCUUUCAUUGCGAAUCCAAGACCCCUCUUCUGUUUUGAGCAUAAAAAUUCUAUUCCGUAGUCUCCUCUGUAUAGUGGUUGCAUGGAAGAAUUUCGUAUUUUUGUCUCCCCAUUUCAUCCACUUGAUUCUUGAGCGCAUUCCCCAAUACAUUUCCUCUUGCCUCCAUAGAGAUUCUAUCUCCUGUUUCAAUGCACCUUCUUUGUUUCUAUCUGAAUGAGUUCUAGUAGAGUUGGUUAUAUCUGUCAGUUCCUUUUUUAAAGCAUCAAUUCUCCGAGAACAAUUCGCAAAUCUUUUUCCGCUCCAUCUUUUCAGUUUAGCAGAUACUACAUGAAGUUUUCUUGGAAAGUCUGCUACUUGUUCAGGGAUUGAGGACCAGGCUUCUUUAACUACAUGGACAAAAUCAUCAGCUUUGAACCAGUAAUCUUCUACCCUGAAUAUUCUGUUCUUUUUAACUGAAUCUGCUGUUAUGGUUAAUAGAAGUGGGCUGUGGUCCGAACCAAUUGCUGGAAAAGCAUAGGCUACUGCCUCUGGAUAAAGGACUCUCCAUUCUAUAGUACUCAGAACCCUAACUUUUUCUUUACAAAAUUGUCCCCUUCUUGUUAUUUGGAUCAAGUGAAAGCACAUCCCUUGCAUUCAAUGUCCAUUAACGCACAUGAAUUCAAAAACUCUCUGAAAGCAAACAUACGAUAAUUUUCAGCUUUUCUCUUCCCUUCCUUCUCCCAAUGAUUAAGAAUUUCAUUAAAAUCUCCCAUACAGAGCCAAGGCAAGGUAUUAAGGGAGCUUAUCUGGAUAAGCUUGGUCCAAAGUAAGUUCCUCUCUCGAUAAUCAGUAGGGGCAUGCACUAGUGUAACCCUCAUCUGCUAUUGGUCUUCCUGAAAUUCACAUAUUAAGUCCAGAAACUCAGCUGUAGCCAUUCCUAUAUUAACCUUUACUUGAUCUUCCCAUAAAAUAGCUAACCCUCCUCCAAUUCCUUCUGGAUUAACAACAAAGUGAUUCUGGAAAUUGAGACGCUUCUUUACUCGUUUUACUACUGCUUCCUGAUUCUUAGUUUCCAUUAGGAAAACUAAGUUGGGCUUCUCUUGAACCACCAUGGCUCUAAUAUUUUGGACUGUCAAGGGAGUGCCCAGACCUUGAUAGUUCCAACUUAGGAUCUUCAUUUGUUACCCGGUGGCUUAUUAAGGCUAGCCACCAAAGCCCAUUUUGUUGCUUCCUCAGUCGCAAGGAUUGGAGUGUCUAGAAGUUGGGACUCAUCCAACAAUAAAGAGCUGAAUUUCCUCUGCCUUUUUGCUAUGGGGGUUUUUGGCCCCUAGCCAAUCUUUAUGCCACUACUAUUAGGACCAAGGGACAGCUUUACCUUGGGAGAAAUCUGCUUUUGAGUAGGGCCAGUGAUCAUCUUAAUCUCCUUUCUAGUUUCUUUUUUCCUUUUCCCCUGAAUAGGUACUUGGUCUACUUCAAAUAGCAUAUUCUCAGGUCUAUCUUCCUCUUCAGCAGCUUCCAUUCAUGAUGAUUGAGCAAUUUCCUGAGGAGUAAUUUGGUCUUGAUGCACUAGGGUUUCAGGAAUUAUUUCUUCAAUAAGAUAUUCUAUUGUCUCCUUCCUAUAGAAAACUUUCCAAAAGGGACUGUUCUCCUGGGAUUCAGCUCUCAGCCAGCUACCAAAGCUACUUCCCAGGGCCACGAGCAUCUAUUCUCACCUCUUUCACCUGGCCUGCUGAGCUAACUAGAGAUUCUACUACUUCCGAGGAAAACCAUCUGAUUGGCAAACCAAGUAUUCGAAUCCAGAAGGCACAUUUCUCAAACUUAUAACAGUGGGGAGGAGUAUUUGGUUCACAAUCAUGAAGUAGUAGUAAGUGAUUUGAAAAAGACCAAGGGCCUCCCUCUAGCACCCUAGAUCUUUCCAAUUCGUUCCUGAAGGUGAAACUGAAUAUAUUAUGCCCCCGAGGUGUGAUUUCCACAUUUUCAUUUUUCCAUGCUCGUUUCAUUGCCGUUUGAAAGGCCUGGAAAUUGAUACUAGGAUUUUGGUAUGGCUGACCCAUUAAGAUAGUCUGGCAUUCCUCUAUUUUCUCAGUUGAUACAAUUCCUGAGAUGUCUUUAUUUGAGAGUAACGUAUCUAGUUUUCUGCAGAGAAGAGCCAAUCGAGCUGAGGCCUCAUCAUCAUCUUCCAUUUCUGAAAGAUUGGUACCUUGAUAAUCGAUUUGAAGGCAAAUAUAGAAAUGGGGAAGAGGGCAGCGGCUAGAGAUUUUUGGGAAGUGAAGUCAAAACCCUAAAUGAAAAAAAAAAAGGGGAGAGAAGAAAUGAAGCACCAAAAGCUGCGUGGGAAUUCAUGGUGAUGAUUGAGCAAACCAGUGGGGAUUUUGUUAGGGUUUGUUAGUUGAGGGAGCCAUUGCUACACAGACGGUAGAGGAGAGCUACACAGUCGGUAGAGGAGAGCUGACACUUUAAGG